UAGGGAAUCUUCCGCAAUGGGCGAAAGCUUGACGGAGCAACGCCGCGUGAGUGAUGAAGGUCUUCGGAUCGUAAAACUCUGUUAUUAGGGAAGAACAAAUGUGUAAGUAACUAUGCACGUCUUGACGGUACCUAAUCAGAAAGCCACGGCUAACUACGUGCCAGCAGCCGCGGUAAUACGUAGGUGGCAAGCGUUAUCCGGAAUCAUUGGGCGUAAAGCGCGCGUAGGCGGUUUUUUAAGUCUGAUGUGAAAGCCCACGGCUCAACCGUGGAGGGUCAUUGGAAACUGGAAAACUUGAGUGCAGAAGAGGAAAGUGGAAUUCCAUGUGUAGCGGUGAAAUGCGCAGAGAUAUGGAGGAACACCAGUGGCGAAGGCGACUUUCUGGUCUGUAACUGACGCUGAUGUGCGAAAGCGUGGGGAUCAAACAGG
rnacentral:rRNA from 1 species